CGAACGAACUCUGGUAUUGAUUGGUGCUUGCAUCAUGAUUUACAUUUGAGUGAGUGGCGAACUGGUGAGUAACACGUGGGAAACCUGCCCAGAAGCGGGGGAUAACACCUGGAAACAGAUGCUAAUACCGCAUAACAACUUGGACCGCAUGGUCCGAGCUUGAAAGAUGGCUUCGGCUAUCACUUUUGGAUGGUCCCGCGGCGUAUUAGCUAGAUGGUGGGGUAACGGCUCACCAUGGCAAUGAUACGUAGCCGACCUGAGAGGGUAAUCGGCCACAUUGGGACUGAGACACGGCCCAAACUCCUACGGGAGGCAGCAGUAGGGAAUCUUCCACAAUGGACGAAAGUCUGAUGGAGCAACGCCGCGUGAGUGAAGAAGGGUUUCGGCUCGUAAAACUCUGUUGUUAAAGAAGAACAUAUCUGAGAGUAACUGUUCAGGUAUUGACGGUAUUUAACCAGAAAGCCACGGCUAACUACGUGCCAGCAGCCGCGGUAAUACGUAGGUGGCAAGCGUUGUCCGGAUUUAUUGGGCGUAAAGCGAGCGCAGGCGGUUUUUUAAGUCUGAUGUGAAAGCCUUCGGCUCAACCGAAGAAGUGCAUCGGAAACUGGGAAACUUGAGUGCAGAAGAGGACAGUGGAACUCCAUGUGUAGCGGUGAAAUGCGUAGAUAUAUGGAAGAACACCAGUGGCGAAGGCGGCUGUCUGGUCUGUAACUGACGCUGAGGCUCGAAAGUAUGGGUAGCAAACAGGAUUAGAUACCCUGGUAGUCCAUACCGUAAACGAUGAAUGCUAAGUGUUGGAGGGUUUCCGCCCUUCAGUGCUGCAGCUAACGCAUUAAGCAUUCCGCCUGGGGAGUACGGCCGCAAGGCUGAAACUCAAAGGAAUUGACGGGGGCCCGCACAAGCGGUGGAGCAUGUGGUUUAAUUCGAAGCUACGCGAAGAACCUUACCAGGUCUUGACAUACUAUGCAAAUCUAAGAGAUUAGACGUUCCCUUCGGGGACAUGGAUACAGGUGGUGCAUGGUUGUCGUCAGCUCGUGUCGUGAGAUGUUGGGUUAAGUCCCGCAACGAGCGCAACCCUUAUUAUCAGUUGCCAGCAUUAAGUUGGGCACUCUGGUGAGACUGCCGGUGACAAACCGGAGGAAGGUGGGGAUGACGUCAAAUCAUCAUGCCCCUUAUGACCUGGGCUACACACGUGCUACAAUGGAUGGUACAACGAGUUGCGAACUCGCGAGAGUAAGCUAAUCUCUUAAAGCCAUUCUCAGUUCGGAUUGUAGGCUGCAACUCGCCUACAUGAAGUCGGAAUCGCUAGUAAUCGCGGAUCAGCAUGCCGCGGUGAAUACGUUCCCGGGCCUUGUACACACCGCCCGUCACACCAUGAGAGUUUGUAACACCCAAAGUCGGUGGGGUAACCUUUUAGGAACC
rnacentral:rRNA from 2 species